UCUUCUCCAAGUACAAGGAUUCAUCAUCCUCUGUGAAGCCCAGAUAGUCAUUUAUGGUCUUGCCAUAAAAUUUUACCUUUAAGUUCGCACUUUGGUGACUGUGGUGUCCUUUUUUAUAUAGGCCACAUUUGUGUAGAACUCCUUUAUCAAGUGCUCAUUGGCCCCCUCUACCUGCCCUAUCAGAUACUCCCAUCCAUCUAUCUCUAUGAACUGCCUUAACACAUUAGUGUUGUGAGGCUCGAGGUCAUUUAUAUUAAAUUUACACUCCGGUAUUAGCUUUCUCUCGGGCCACCACUCUCUGAACUUGUGGUAGGAAAUCUUAAUCACAAACAAG
rnacentral:lncRNA from 1 species